rnacentral:lncRNA from 1 species
AAAUAUAUCUAAAAUCGACUUUCUUAUGCUUUCCAUAGUUCUUUAUUCUCUUUAACCGAUAACAUUCCAUGUUGUAUGUUAUUUCUCUUUCAACCAUGAAAAUUCGGAGCAGACUUAUCUUCUGUACCUUUGCCAAUCAUAGCAGCAAGAUAUAUUUUUUUUAAUAUAGAACUUAACAACAGUUAUUUCAUACACCAUUGAUGUUGAGAAGGCAUCCUUAUGACACAGGAGUUUUCAGCAAAGACUGUAUUUUUAAGAAUUUUGGAAGUCUUUGAAGAGUCAUCUGAUUAGAUAAUGAAGUUUACGAUUCACAAAUUUGAAAAUACUGCACACUGUAUGCUUGAAAUAACGUCCAAUAGAGCAGAUAACCAGAUACCAGGGUUAACAAAAUGAAAACACACAUUA